CAGUAAACACAGCCCGGCAGGAGCAGACAGAAGCCAUUCGUCGAGAGUGGGACCCGGGUGGGAGGCCUUGGCUACACAGACACAGGACCUGAAGAUAAGAUACUGUGGCCUGUCGGUCACCACUCUGUGUGCAUAGCGGUGCAGGUGACAUCAUUACCUUUGGGGAAACUGGGAGAGAUGCUGUGCAGAGUCUGAGCCACCGUGGUCUGUCACACAGACACUGCCUCCCUAAGUGACUGACCCUCAAUAAAAACCUUGGACGCCGAAGCUCAGAUGAACUUUCCCGGCUGAACCUUGGACCCGGAGGCUCAGCUGUCGAGGAUGCCCUGAUGUCUGUUCUCACAUCACAUUGCGCUCCAAGUACCCCGGCUGCAACCAGAGCUCAGCAAACAGGACCAGAGGGCACAUCCACCCUGCCUGCCCAUGUCAACAGAGUUGUGUGGGAGCCAGCCGGCCCCCAGGAAGACCCCAGAUCUUCCUGCCCCCGACCACAGCCCUGUCCCUGGAAGCAUAUGCUGCAGACACUUGCUCUGCUGCAGAUUUUCUGCACAACCCCUCCUCAGGAGGGAAGGUUUGGUACCUGAAUGAGGCAUCUUUUGACCUCUACUCCUAUCACUAUUUUUGGUGACCUCAAUAUUUAUGAAGGUAAUAACUUGGUCUUUAAUCCAGACAAUUUUCACCUCCAGGAAUCUUGUCCUGCAUCUCACUUUUCUUCUUGAGUCCUGUGGUCAUCACCAAAACCUGUCCCUCCUUGGAAACCUCAGUUUAAGCAUCCCACUGUCCGAGGGCACCUCUUUCCUUCCAUUGCCUCAGUUUCAGGUGUCCGGUCCACGGCGCCCCCAUCUUUGCCCAGUCACCAUGUCCAGUCCACUGUGCUCCCAUCUUUACCCAGCCGCUGUGUCCAGUCCAUGGUGCCCCCAUUUUGCCCAGCCACCACCUCUCGUCUGACGCCCCAUCCUCCCCUUGGUGCUGGGCUCCUGCCUGUCCCUCCUCUGUCAAGUGCACCUGGACCUGGGAGUGACCUUGGAGUGACCUUGACCCUGGCAGCUCCAACUCUCAACCCAUCUCAGGGCUGCACCGGAGCCCUUGAAACCUGGCUGGAGGGAAACAGCAAACCCUGCCACCUGUAGUCGCCUAAAAUUCACAGCCACAGUCCUCCAACAGGCCCCACGCUUCCUGCCAGUCCAGCACAUUUCCUGGUUAAUUUAUAAUUCUGUUUUCCGAGGCAGCUAUUUUGCAAUUUCCGGGCUCAACAAAGCCUCCAACAGUUCUUCAGCUUCCUAAUUCCGAGCUGUUGCCCACAUUUGUUUAUCAAAAGAACUUCCGGGCUGGGUGCAGUGGCUCACACCUGUAAUCCCAGCACUUUGGGAGGCCCAGACGGGUGCAUCACCUGAGGCCACGUGUUUGAGACCAGCCUGACCAACAUGGUGAAACCCCAUCUCUAAUACAAAAUACACACACACAAAACUAGCUGGGGGUAGUGGUGGGCAUCUGUAAUCCCAGGUACUCUGGAGGCUGAGGCAUGAGAAUCGUUUGAACCCGGGAGGCUGAGGUUGCGGUGAGCUGAGAUUGCACCACUGCACUCCAGCCUGUGCAGCAGAGGGAGACCCUAUCUAAAAACAAAACAAAACAAAACAAAAUCCAUGUUCUUCCAGCAUCUGUGGCUGCCACAUUCCCUGCCCUCCUUUUAAAGCAGCUGCAAGCAGCUGAGUUCUUAGCCUCAGUGGCAUCACCCCAGGCCCAGCAGUGAGUGUGGCUUCCACGCUUUUCAUGGAGCAAAGAAGAAAGGAGCUUCCUGGCCCCCCUGACUCUGGAACCCUCACAUCUCCAUCCUUCCCAUCCCCAGGCUGUGCCUGGGCACCAUCUCCCCGGAGAGACCCUGCGUGCCCCAUCUAAAUCUGCAUUCCACCUCUGCCCCCCUCCGUGGGUGCUCAGCCCCCGCAUGCUCCAUCUAAAUCCACAUCCCACCUCUGCCCCCCUCCGUGGGUGCUCAGCCCCCACGCACCCCAUCUAAAUCCACAUCCCACCUCUGUCCCCUUCUUUGGGUGCUCAGCCCCCGCAUGCUCCAUCUAAACUCGAAUCCCACCUCUGCCCCCCUCCGUGGGUGCUCAGCUUGCCUUAUUUUUCUUCAGAGCCAUGACCACUUCCCAGCAUAACGUGCAUGUGUUUCUGUUUUAUGCAUGGAUGUUUAUGUUCCAUGAGAACCAACACUGGGCUGGUUUGUUCACGUUUGGACUCAAAGCCUGGCACAUGUACAUCUGGUGUCUGUGUCUGGCACUGCUUUUGAGGCUUGGGAAAGGCGGAUAAAGUCUCUCAAUCGCAUCCCCAGUGCUGAGACAGUCCACGUACACAUCCACGUGAGGCUUUAAGACACUGAUGCACUUCAGCUGCAGGGACUGUCAAAUCCAAGCUCAGGAGAGAAUGAUGUGGUUUCCAAGAUAAAUGCCAGAUACGUGCUUCUCCCCACCCAGGACUCUGCUGCUUUUAUGGAAAUACACAUUGCUGUGGGGGAGGAAAGAAGGCUGAACAGAUCAUGUUGCAGUGUGGAUAUGGGUUUUGGCUGAUAAGGGCUGUGAUCGUUGGCUCUUGGAGCUGUCCCUGACAAGGUGUCAAGGGUCCUGAGAUGCUAACGUGCGUGGUGAGGUCGGAGUCUCUCUAAGAUCCUGCAAGUGACACGGGUCACAUUCCCUGGGGAGGGUCCUCCAGAGGCUGGUCCACUGGGUGGACGCCUGGGCCCCCGAGAUAGGGGACUUCUCUUCCACCACUGGCCUGGCUCAAAGGACAGAUGCCCUCUGGAGAUGUGGCACUUAAGCUACCGUGACAGGGGAUGGGUGCUGACAAGCAGAUCCUAGUUCAGAUUUUGACACAAGACGGUCAGGAGGAGCCUGGGCCGGUGGGGGGUGGUGCUGAGGUCAGCGGUGGAGGAACAGGGCGAGAAUCACACCGGAAAACAAAUGCCUCGCUCAGCGACUCCACAGUCCUGCCCUGGGUUGACUGAUGAUUUUAGACAUUUUAAGAAAUUUCAUAGGGUUUUUUGUAGAUUUGACAGGUCUUUUCUUGUUGCAGCAGGAAGUAAAAAUGAUAGGACUAAGCAAGGAAAAACAGUUUAUAAAGAGGAGCCCACGCUGCCGUGACAUUCUCAUCAUUGCUAGAGACGGGCGGCUUCUCAGAGGCGUGUCCUCCCCCCCUCGGGGGAGCAGCGGGCUUCUGAUUGUUAAAGGACCCUGGGCUCCGCAUCAGAUCUGUGUAAGUGAGGAAUCCCACUGCGUGGACGGCAGGUGAAAACUGUCAGUGUAAACAACCUAUUUUCAUAUCUAGGACAAAGGUUAAGAUGUGAGAUUUUCUUCUUCCAAGGCCAACUUGGAUUACUUAUCUAACAAAUCCUUAGAUUCCCAGACUAGUCAGCUCCCUAACGCAUUUCUCUAAAAAUUCCUGAAAAGAAAAGAGAGCCAAAUGUUUGUGUUUUUCUGGACCCCCCAGCUGAAGCCUGUUCCUGAAAUGAGCCUUGAAAAGAAUGGGAUCUGCUUUUUCCCUUGUUCCUGCCAAGAGGUCAGGAGUGAUUAUUAGAAACAUUAUUUGAUCAAAACCACAAUCGUUUUAGUAGAGCAGCAAAAGUUUAACAACUUCUUUCACCCAUCACAUGCAGCAGAAAAUCAGACGAGAAGGAUGCCUUUCAACGACCCUGGUGCACCCUGGGUCAUCACGAGGCGCACCCUGGAUCGUCACGCACGCGUGAACACACGGGGGGCACCCUGGGUCGUCACACAUGCGUGAAC